rnacentral:rRNA from 1 species
GACGAACGCUGGCGGCGUGCCUAACACAUGCAAGUCGAGCGAGUGGAUCUCCUUCGGGAGAGAAGCUAGCGGCGGACGGGUGAGUAACACGUGGGCAACCUGCCUCUUAGAGGGGAAUAGCCUCCCGAAAGGGAGAUUAAUACCGCAUAAGAUUGCAGCUUCGCAUGAAGUAGCAAUUAAAGGAGUAAUCCGCUAUGAGAUGGGCCCGCGGCGCAUUAGCUAGUUGGUGGGGUAACGGCUCACCAAGGCGACGAUGCGUAGCCGACCUGAGAGGGUGAUCGGCCACAUUGGGACUGAGACACGGCCCAGACUCCUACGGGAGGCAGCAGUGGGGAAUAUUGCACAAUGGGGGAAACCCUGAUGCAGCAACGCCGCGUGAGUGAUGACGGCCUUCGGGUUGUAAAGCUCUGUCUUCAGGGACGAUAAUGACGGUACCUGAGGAGGAAGCCACGGCUAACUACGUGCCAGCAGCCGCCGUAACAC